rnacentral:rRNA from 1 species
UACGAAGGGGGCUAGCGUUGUUCGGAAUCACUGGGCGUAAAGCGCACGUAGGCGGACUUUUAAGUCAGGGGUGAAAUCCCGGGGCUCAACCCCGGAACUGCCUUUGAUACUGGAAGUCUUGAGUCCGAGAGAGGUGAGUGGAACUCCGAGUGAUUAGAGGUGAAAUUCGUAAGAUAUUCGGAAGAACACCAGUGGCGAAGGCGGACUCACUGGGCUCGGUACUACGCUGGAGGUGACGAAAGCGUGGGGAGCAAAACAGGAAUUGAGAUACCCGGGGUAGUCCA